AGAGUUUGAUCAUGGCUCAGGAUAAACGCUGGCGGCGCACAUAAGACAUGCAAGUCGAACGGACUUAAUCUUAAUAUUUAUAUUGAGAAGCGGUUAGUGGCGGACUGGUGAGUAACGCGUAAGCAAUCUGCCUAUUAGAGGGGAAUAACAGUGAGAAAUCAUUGCUAAUACCGCAUAUGCCAUAAGAACCACAUGGUUCUAGUGGGAAAGGAGUAAUCCGCUAAUAGAUGAGCUUGCGUCUGAUUAGCUAGUUGGUGUGGUAAUGGCACACCAAGGCAACGAUCAGUAGCCGGACUGAGAGGUUGAACGGCCACAUUGGGACUGAGAUACGGCCCAGACUCCUACGGGAGGCAGCAGUCGGGAAUAUUGCGCAAUGGAGGAAACUCUGACGCAGUGACGCCGCGUAUAGGAAGAAGGUUUUCGGAUUGUAAACUAUUGUCGUUAGGGAAGAUAAAAGACAGUACCUAAGGAGGAAGCUCCGGCUAACUACGUGCCAGCAGCCGCGGUAAUACGUAGGGAGCAAGCGUUAUCCGGAUU
rnacentral:rRNA from 1 species